AUUGAACGCUGGCGGCAUGCCUUACACAUGCAAGUCGAACGGCAGCACGGGUGCUCGCACCUGGUGGCGAGUGGCGAACGGGUGAGUAAUACAUCGGAACGUACCUUAUCGUGGGGGAUAACGCAGCGAAAGCUGUGCUAAUACCGCAUACGCCCUGAGGGGGAAAGCGGGGGAUCGCAAGACCUCGCGCGAUUAGAGCGGCCGAUGCCUGAUUAGCUUGUUGGUGGGGUAAAAGCCCACCAAGGCGACGAUCAGUAGCUGGUCUGAGAGGACGAUCAGCCACACUGGGACUGAGACACGGCCCAGACUCCUACGGGAGGCAGCAGUGGGGAAUUUUGGACAAUGGGGGCAACCCUGAUCCAGCAAUGCCGCGUGAGUGAAGAAGGCCUUCGGGUUGUAAAGCUCUUUUGUCAGGGAAGAGACACCGGCUCUAACACAGUCCGGGAAUGACGGUACCUGAAGAAUAAGCACCGGCUAACUACGUGCCAGCCGCCGCCGUAA
rnacentral:rRNA from 1 species